AGUGAAUGACCUGUUGCAGUGCUUUCAUUGAAGUGUUCUUCGUUCCCUCAGCAAUAUGAUUGUGAUGACUGAAAAAGGGAAACUGUGCCACUAUUUGUACCAUCAUUUUCACCAAAAUCUAAAAAUGCUUUUUAUGACGUAUGGAGACAUUCUUCAUGUUUGUUUCAGUGGACACUCCUUGCAGAUGUAAAAAACUGAGAAAACUCACUUUUGGAAAGUGACCUAAAGAGUGUCAUUGAAGUGAAUUUUAAGUAGGCACGAUGAUUGUUUUCAUGGUUGCUGUUGGAUCAUAUCUCAGGAGCUGGAAUGACAGACAUUAUUGAACAAAGAAAUCAGGAUAGUGGAACUUAAAGGGCUUCAUCUCAGUGCUUUCAUAAGUAUGAAGUGCAUAUAUUUAUAAUUUUCACUAAUCACAGGGUAAAUAUAAAAUUGAUUCAUUAAAAAUGUUUCAUAAGAAUUCAAAGGACAUAGAAUUUUGUGAAAUGUAGUAUUUUUACUUAAGUGCCUUUUCUCUGCUUCUACCCCACAGCCAAUUUUUUAUAAACCAGUUGAUAACAUAAGUAGUUUUUGGGGGAUGAUACAUUACUUAUACAUUUUCUAUGUAGUAAACAUGUAUGUGUAUGUGUGUGGGUGUGUGUCUAAUUACUUUGUUGGACAGAUUCCUGUGGUUUGGAACUGCUGGGGCCAAGUUUAUACAAAAAUCUACAUUUUUGAGUAAACUCCCCAUGACUCUAGUAAGUUUCCACAGUAUUUGAGUAUUCUUUAUUUCCUAAAGCUGUACAAACAUCAGAUAAUCAAUAUUUGUAAGGAUCGAUAAUAUAAUUUAUAAUGAAAUUGCUUUAUCAGCUAUUAAUGUUAACUACAUCAUCUUCAUAUAGCCUUAUAACUCAUUUGUGCUAUUCCAUUUUCCUCUGUUCCUUUUAUUUUCACUUCCCUUGUAAUGUUAGUCUCUUUGUACUGAUUUCUGAAGAGUUCAUUUAUGAUUAAACAUGUUAACAUUUUGUCUAGAAUUGCAAAUAUGUUUUUUCUCAUUCAUUUUACUAUGGUGUUUUAUUUUUUGGUUAUACAGAAGUUGUAUAUUGAAAUAUAAUCUUGUUCUGUUUUAUGACUUUGGAGUUUUGUGGUUUUUUAAAACAUGUUUACAUUGGUAUCAUUUAUUUGUAUUGCCUUCUAUUUCAGCAGUUAGUUUGUCAUUUCUUUUUCCAUUAAUCAUCAUUCUGGUGUUAAUGAAUGCAUUAAAUAUUUAAAGUACUCACUUU
rnacentral:lncRNA from 1 species